GACAAUUCAAUAAGGCUGGAUCCAAAUUGGCUGCAUCCUUUCCAUCGGAGAGUUUGUUCUGAUUUUAACAAAGACUUUGCUUACAUUUUCAAUUAAAACGCCAGAUUGUUUUCUUAGAUGAAAUGCUACUAACAAAAAUGACCUGAUCAACAUUGCUGAUUUCUACGAACAUCGUGUCAUUGUGACAAAUUUUGAAGGAUCCCUCAGAAACACAAUUAGUUUGUUACCUCAUGUGUCUCAUCCAAGAAGCAUGUCCAUCUGUUCUGAUUGCGAACUAGCUGUUGCUUUUGGGGGGAGGGGGGAGUAUUUUUUCACCUAAAGUAGUCCAAGUGUUGCACUACGUCACAACCAGAUUUUACAAUAUUCGACUUUUACAUUUUAAAUAUCUGGUAUUGAUUUUGCUCUUUGUCGCCAUUGUAAACGUUGUCGAUUAUUAAAAAAAUUAGAACGGU
rnacentral:sRNA from 1 species